rnacentral:rRNA from 1 species
UACGUAGGGGGCUAGCGUUGUCCGGAAUCAUUGGGCGUAAAGAGCGUGUAGGCGGCCCGGUAAGUCCGCUGUGAAAGUCGGGGGCUCAACCCUCGAAUGCCGGUGGAUACUGCCGGGCUAGAGUGCGGAAGAGGCGAGUGGAAUUCCUGGUGUAGCGGUGAAAUGCGCAGAUAUCAGGAGGAACACCAAUUGCGAAGGCAGCUCGCUGGGACGUAACUGACGCUGAGACGCGAAAGCGUGGGGAGCAAACAGG